GCCUCGGUGGUGUAGUGGUAGAGCAUGCGUCCCCUGAUAGGAUGGAACGCGAGGUUCGAUUCCCUCCUGAGGCC